UACGGGAGGCAGCAGUGGGGAAUAUUGCACAAUGGGCGCAAGCCUGAUGCAGCCAUGCCGCGUGUAUGAAAAAGGCCUUCGGGUUGUAAAGUACUUUCAGUCGUGAGGAAGGUGUUAAGGUUAAUAACCUUAGCAAUUGACGUUAGCGACAGAAGAAGCACCGGCUAACUCCGUGCCAGUAGCCGCGGUAAUACGGAGGGUGCGAGCGUUAAUCGGAAUUACUGGGCGUAAAGGGCACGCAGGCGGUUAAUUAAGUUGGAUGUGAAAAUCCCCCGGGGCUUAACCUGGGAAUGGCAUUCAAGACUGGUUAGCUAGAGUCUUGUAGAGGGGGGUAGAAUUCCAUGUGUAGCGGUGAAAUGCGUAGAGAUGUGGAGGAAUACCGGUGGCGAAAGGCGGCCCCUGGACAAAGACUGACGCUCAUGUGCGAAAGCGUGGGGAGCAAAACAGGGAUUAGAUACC
rnacentral:rRNA from 1 species